UAUUAUCAGUUGCCAGCAUUCAGUUGGGCACUCUGGUGAGACUGCCGGUGACAAACCGGAGGAAGGUGGGGAUGACGUCAAAUCAUCAUGCCCCUUAUGACCUGGGCUACACACGUGCUACAAUGGACGGUACAACGAGUUGCGAAGUCGUGAGGCUAAGCUAAUCUCUUAAAGCCGUUCUCAGUUCGGAUUGUAGGCUGCAACUCGCCUACAUGAAGUUGGAAUCGCUAGUAAUCGCGGAUCAGCAUGCCGCGGUGAAUACGUUCCCGGGCCUUGUACACACCGCCCGUCACACCAUGAGAGUUUGUAACACCCAAAGCCGGUGAGAUAACCUUCGGGAGUCAGCCGUCUAAGGUGGGACAGAUGAUUAGGGUGAAGUCGUAACAAGGUAGCCGUAGGAGAACCUGCGGCUGGAUCACCUCCUUUCUAAGGAA
rnacentral:rRNA from 2 species